CCCUUAGAUGUUCUGGGCCGCACGCGUGCUACACUGAGUGGAUCAGCGGGUCAGGUUGCGCGAAAGCGUUUCCUAAUCUUUAAAUCCGCUCGUGAUGGGGAUUGACGGUUGCAAUUUUCCGUCAUGAACGAGGAAUACCUUGUAAGCGCGGGUCAUCAUCCCGCGCUGAAUACGUCCCUGCCCUUUGUACACACCGCCCGUCGCUCCUACCGAUUGAGUGGUCCGGUGAGGCUUUGGGAUCUGAGCGGAAAGAGCGUUUCGCUGUUUCUGCUCGGAAAACUCAGUCGAACCUUAUCAUUUAGAGGAAGGAGAAGUCGUAACA
rnacentral:rRNA from 1 species